rnacentral:rRNA from 1 species
CGAACGGGUGAGUAACAUAUCGGAACGUACCGAGCAGUGGGGGAUAACUAAUCGAAAGAUUAGCUAAUACCGCAUAUCUUCUGAGGAAGAAAGCAGGGGACCAUUUGGCCUUGCGCUGUUUGAGCGGCCGAUAUCUGAUUAGCUAGUUGGUGGGGUAAAGGCCUACCAAGGCGACGAUCAGUAGCGGGUCUGAGAGGAUGAUCCGCCACACUGGGACUGAGACACGGCCCAG